CAGGAAACCCAGCCACCAGGUCCCCACCCAGCCGGCAUCCUUGGGGUGAUGUUCACAGUCUCUGGAAGAGAUCGACAUAUCCAAUGUCUACAUAGAGUCUGGCACACAACGACCCCUGCAGGAAACCAAACAUGGGACCUAGCAAUGUGACGAGCGUUCCCCAGGAGCACAUAAAUCAACAUGUGGGAGCUGGAGUCUCUUACACAGUCUACAGAGGGAAUCAUAUAGAGACACACAGGUACACAGCAUACCUCCUUUAUUCGGGACCAUGCAUAUACUGUACAACUUGUACGUCGCGCCACAGUUACCUAUAAAGCCAAGUGGCAUCUGUAGUUACAGAAAUAGUCUUGAAAGUAAAGUAUCAUGCCAACUCAGCCUUCGACAAGUCAGGC
rnacentral:lncRNA from 1 species